GACGAACGCUGACGGCGUGCUUAACACAUGCAAGUCGAACGGUAAGGCCCUUCGGGGUACACGAGUGGCGAACGGGUGAGUAACACGUGGGUGAUCUGCCCUGCACUUCGGGAUAAGCCUGGGAAACUGGGUCUAAUACCGGAUAGGACCACUGCCUGCAUGGGUGGUGGUGGAAAGCCUUUGCGGUGUGGGAUGGGCCCGCGGCCUAUCAGCUUGUUGGUGGGGUGAUGGCCUACCAAGGCGACGACGGGUAGCCGGCCUGAGAGGGUGACCGGCCACACUGGGACUGAGAUACGGCCCAGACUCCUCCGGGAGGCAGCAGUGUGGAAUAUUGCACAAUGGGCGCAAGCCUGAUGCAGCGACGCCGCGUGAGGGAUGACGGCCUUCGGGUUGUAAACCUCUUUCAGCACCGACGAAGCGCAAGUGACGGUAGGUGCAGAAGAAGGACCGGCCAACUACGUGCCAGCCGCCGCAGUAA
rnacentral:rRNA from 1 species